CUUGCUUCUCUUGAGAGCGGCGGACGGGUGAGUAAUGCCUAGGAAUCUGCCUGGUAGUGGGGGAUAACGUUCGGAAACGGACGCUAAUACCGCAUACGUCCUACGGGAGAAAGCAGGGGACCUUCGGGCCUUGCGCUAUCAGAUGAGCCUAGGUCGGAUUAGCUAGUUGGUGGGGUAAUGGCUCACCAAGGCGACGAUCCGUAACUGGUCUGAGAGGAUGAUCAGUCACACUGGAACUGAGACACGGUCCAGACUCCUACGGGAGGCAGCAGUGGGGAAUAUUGGACAAUGGGCGAAAGCCUGAUCCAGCCAUGCCGCGUGUGUGAAGAAGGUCUUCGGAUUGUAAAGCACUUUAAGUUGGGAGGAAGGGUUGUAGAUUAAUACUCUGCAAUUUUGACGUUACCGACAGAAUAAGCACCGGCUAACUCUGUGCCAGCAGCCGCGGUAAUACAGAGGGUGCAAGCGUUAAUCGGAAUUACUGGGCGUAAAGCGCGCGUAGGUGGUUUGUUAAGUUGGAUGUGAAAUCCCCGGGCUCAACCUGGGAACUGCAUUCAAAACUGACUGACUAGAGUAUGGUAGAGGGUGGUGGAAUUUCCUGUGUAGCGGUGAAAUGCGUAGAUAUAGGGAAGGAACACCA
rnacentral:rRNA from 1 species